UACGGAGGAUGCGAGCGUUAUCCGGAUUUAUUGGGUUUAAAGGGCGCGUAGGCGGACUGUCAAGUCAGCGGUAAAAUACGGGGGCUCAACCUCCGCCCGCCGUUGAAACUGACGGUCUUGAGUGGGCGAGAAGUAUGCGGAAUGCGUGGUGUAGCGGUGAAAUGCAUAGAUAUCACGCAGAACUCCGAUUGCGAAGGCAGCAUACCGGCGCCCAACUGACGCUGAAGCACGAAAGCGUGGGUAUCGAACAGG
rnacentral:rRNA from 1 species